rnacentral:misc_RNA from 1 species
GAUGAAGAACGCAGCGAAAUGCGAUAAGUAAUGUGAAUUGCAGAAUUCAGUGAAUCAUCGAAUCUUUGAACGCACAUUGCGCCCGCCAGUAUUCUGGCGGGCAUGCCUGUUCGAGCGUCAUUACAACCCUCAGGCCCCCGGGCCUGGCGUUGGGGAUCGGCGGAAGCCCCCUGCGGGCACAACGCCGUCCCCCAAAUACAGUGGCGGUCCCGCCGCAGCUUCCAUUGCGUAGUAGCUAACACCUCGCAACUGGAGAGCGGCGCGGCAACGCCGUAAAACACCCAACUUCUGAAUGUUGACCUCGAAUCAGGUAGGAAUACCCGCUGAACUUAAGCAUAUCAAUAAGCGGAGGA